CAGUCACAUCGCAUUGAAACAACGUUUCCUAUAUGAUCACGAAAGUUAAGCAACAUUGAGCCUGGUCAGUACUUAGAUGGGUGACUGCUUGGGAAUACCAGGUGCUGAA